UUUCAAGGCAGUCUUUGAGCUUAUCCUCUGUCAAAGUCAGUCGCUGCUCCAAGAUGGACACGGUCUGUAAAAAGGGGGACAGAAUCAUCAAUGCCUGGUGACCUGGACGAGGAGCAUAAUCUCUGCAUGCAAGAUCCUUUUCAGUUCGGGAACGCCCACUCUUGGGCCAGGAGGCUGGCUCAGAAAUGAGCCCCAGAACUUGGUCUGCUUCGGCACCCUCCCAAAAGGCAGCUGGAUACUUCUUUUACUUUGAAAAUAUUGCCACCCACUUCUGCACCCAGAAGUUGACAACGGCACCUCAUAAGGUUGUCAGGAAGAGUGAAUGAAAUAAGGCAUGUAAAUGCUUAAGCUGGUGCCAGCCACACAGGACUUAAUGGAUCUUUGCAAUUCUAACUCCUUUGGCUCCUAAGACAUCUGUAUUUCCCGACCAAGGGGUGGAAGAUCUUUGGUAUGUUAGGGUCCAUGGUACUCCUUCUUUGCAAAGGUAAACUGCAUCAAAGGACUGUGUAACAUUCCAAGAGGGAACUGGGAAAACCAUCACCUCCAGAAGAAUACAGCUUUGGGAAUGAGGGAAGUUAUACACUGGAUGUGGAGAAUGUAUUUGGAGUGGAAACCUAACAUUGCCCAUAUUUCAAAAUAUUCUAACCAAAAUAACUAAUCCCAAUACAUUUUUCUUACAGCCCUAAAAUAUUUCUUUGAUUAUGUCUAAAAAAGCGACUAACUACAUUGCAUCAAAAAUCUUAGGGCAAAAUAUUACUGUCCAGAAUCAAAUACACUUAGGAGAAUGAAGUACCACCUCAGUUCUUCACAAAGGCUCUCCCACUGCCUUCUGGUCCUCAGGUGCCAGAUGCAGUACUGCGUGUGUGUGUGUACCACACACGUGUACGUGUAUGCCUGUGUAUGGGCUCUGACCUCAGCUCCGCAAGAUCUACAGCAGCUCCGCAGAGCAAGCUUUGACCUUGGCAAGAAAGAAAAAUUGUCCCCUGCUCUGCUACUCCUGCAACCUGCUGUAACCAGGAUUGUUUUGUGCAUCUUACCCCAGGUAAGCAUGCCAACCCACCUGUGUC